rnacentral:lncRNA from 1 species
UCCCAUCACUUCCUAAUUCAAUAUUGUUCUGUGUUACAGGAAAACAGUAGAAAAAUGGUGAUGUCAGAGAUGGGUUUACAUUGAUAUGCCAAGUCCAUCAUCCCCUCUGCUUCUCUCUUAAGUCUUAUUUCUUGGCCUAUUUUUCCCU